UCAGGACGGACGCUGGCGGCGUGCUUAACACAUGCAAGUCGAACGGAAAGGCCUAGCUUGCUAGGUACUCGAGUGGCGAACGGGUGAGUAACACGUGGGUGAUCUGCCUCGUACUUCGGGAUAAGCCUGGGAAACUGGGUCUAAUACUGGAUAGGACCAUGCUUUAGUGUGUGUGGUGGAAAGUUUUUCGGUACGAGAUGAGCCCGCGGCCUAUCAGCUUGUUGGUGGGGUAAUGGCCUACCAAGGCGUCGACGGGUAGCCGGCCUGAGAGGGUGGACGGCCACAUUGGGACUGAGAUACGGCCCAGACUCCUACGGGAGGCAGCAGUGGGGAAUAUUGCACAAUGGGCG
rnacentral:rRNA from 1 species